rnacentral:rRNA from 1 species
GACGAACGCUGGCGGCGUGCCUAACACAUGCAAGUCGAGCGAAGAGUUUCUGGUGCUUGCAGUAGAACAACUUACGGGCGAGUGGGUGAGAAACACGUAAAGAACCUUCCUCAUAGACUGGGCCAACGAUAGGAAACGAUAGCACAUAAUGGAUAACAGUAUUUCUCGCAGGAGAGAGAUUUAAAAGUUGGUUAUGCUAACAACAUGAGAUGGCUUUGCGGUGCUUUAGCUAGUUGGUGGGGUAAAGGCCCACCAAGGCGACGAUUUAUAGCCGACGGGUGUGGGUGGUAGCCCGCCUUGGGACUGGGCCGCGCCCCAGGCUCCUGCGGGAGGCAGCAGUAUGGAAUCUUCCGCAAUGGGCGAAAGCCUGACGGAGCAACGCCGCGUGAGUGAAGAAGGAUUUCGGUUCGUAAAGCUCUGUUGUUAGGGAAGAACGGAUUUCUCCUAACACGACGUGUAAGUGACGGUACCUGACCAGGAAGCCCCGGCUAACUACGUG